AGCUCCAUUAGCGUAUACUAAAGUUGCUGCGGUUAAAAAGCUCGUAGUUGGAUUUUGGGAGCGGAGUUGACUGGCCUGCCGGAAUGGUGUGUGCCGUCGACGCGUUUCUUUCCUUCCCGUUUACAAAUUUAGCGGCGCCGAGCCAUUGAUUUGGCACGGAACAUCGUCCGCGCGGGAUCGUUUACUUUGAAAAAAGAGGAGCGUUCAAAGCAGGCCGACUUUAUCGGUUGUUGAACAUUCUAGCAUGGGAUAAUGGAAAAGGACCUUUUGUCUUGUUUUGUUGGUUAUCACACAAGAGGUAAUGAUUAAGAGGGACAGUUGGGGAUCUUCGUAUUCAGUUGUCAGCGGUGAAAUGCUCGGAUUAUCGGAAGACGAACUUCUGCGAAAGCAUUGAUCAAGG
rnacentral:rRNA from 1 species